rnacentral:rRNA from 1 species
UUUUAUUUGAGAGUUUGAUCCUGGCUCAGGAUGAACGCUGGCGGCGUGCCUAACACAUGCAAGUUGAGCGAUUUACUUCGGUAAAGAGCGGCGGACGGGUGAGUAACGCGUGGGUAACCUACCCUGUACACACGGAUAACAUACCGAAAGGUAUGCUAAUACGGGAUAAUAUAUUUGAGAGGCAUCUCUUGAAUAUCAAAGGUGAGCCAGUACAGGAUGGACCCGCGUCUGAUUAGCUAGUUGGUAAGGUAACGGCUUACCAAGGCGACGAUCAGUAGCCGACCUGAGAGGGUGAUCGGCCACAUUGGAACUGAGACACGGUCCAAACUCCUACGGGAGGCA